GACGAACGCUGGCGGCGUGCUUAACACAUGCAAGUCGAACGAGUGGCGAACGGGUGAGUAAUACGUGGGUAACCUGCCCUCUUUUUGGGAUAAGCCUUGGAAACGGGGUCUAAUACCGAAUAAAGGGGGAUGGGCUCGCGGCCUAUCAGCUGGUUGGUGGGGGGAUGGCCUACCAAGGCGGUGACGGGUAGCCGGCCUGAGAGGGUGACCGGAAACAAUGGGACUGAGAGACGGCCCAGGCACCUACGGGAGGGAGCAGUGGGGGAUAUGGCACAAUGGGCGAAAGCCUGAGGCAGCGAGGCCGAGUAGGGGAUGGAGGCGUAAAGGUUGUAAAGCUCUGUCGCAGGCGAACGGGUAGGUGGAGAAGAAGCGCCGGCUAACUACGUGCCAGCAGCCGCGGUAAUUC
rnacentral:rRNA from 1 species